CACUCCUACGGGAGGCAGCAGUGGGGAAUAUUGCACAAUGGGGGAAACCCUGAUGCAGCCAUGCCGCGUGUGUGAAGAAGGCCUUCGGGUCGUAAAGCACUUUCAGUAGGGAGGAAGGUAGUGUAGUUAACACCUGCACUAUUUGACGUUACCUACAGAAGAAGCACCGGCUAACUCCGUGCCAGCAGCCGCGGUAAUACGGAGGGUGCGAGCGUUAAUCGGAAUUACUGGGCGUAAAGCGCAUGCAGGCGGCCUGUUAAGUCAGAUGUGAAAGCCCGGGGCUUAACCUCGGAAUUGCAUUUGAAACUGGCAGGCUAGAGUCUUGUAGAGGGGGUAGAAUUUCAGGUGUAGCGGUGAAAUGCGUAGAGAUCUGAAGGAAUACCAGUGGCGAAGGCGGCCCCCUGGACAAAGACUGACGCUCAGAUGCGAAAGCGUGGGGAGCAAACAGGAUUAGAUACCCUGGUAG
rnacentral:rRNA from 1 species